rnacentral:pre_miRNA from 1 species
UUGAUUGAGGGGAAUGUUGUCUGGCUCGACUUCAUCCGGAUUUGGGCUCCAAUGUUCGGAUGCCGUCGGACCAGGCUUCAUUCCCCCCAAUCGG